rnacentral:rRNA from 1 species
GAUGAACGCUAGCGGCAGGCUUAACACAUGCAAGUCGAGGGGUAUAUGCUUUCGGGCAUAGAGACCGGCGCACGGGUGCGUAACGCGUAUGCAAUCUGCCUUUCACAGAGGGAUAGCCCAGAGAAAUUUGGAUUAAUACCUCCUAGCAUAGCACAAUCGCAUGAUUGAGCUAUUAAAGUCACAACGGAGAAAGAUGAGCAUGCGUCCCAUUGGCUAGUUGGUAAGGUAACGGCUUACCAAGGCUACGAUGGGUAGGGGUCCUGAGAGGGGGAUCCGACACACGGGUACUGAGACACGGACCAGACUCCUGCGGGAGGGAGCAGUGAGGAAUAUUGGUCAAUGGGCGCAAGCCUAAGCCAGCCAUGCCGCGUGCAGGAUGACGGUCCUAUGGAUUGUAAACUGCUUUUGUACGGGAAGAAACACUCCUACGUGUAGGAGCUUGAAGGUACCGUAAGAAUAAGGAUCGGCUAACUCCGUGCCAGCAGCCGCGGUAAAGC